rnacentral:rRNA from 1 species
UACGAAGGGUGCAAGCGUUAAUCGGAAUUACUGGGCGUAAAGGGUGCGUAGGCGGUUGUUUAAGUCUGCCGUGAAAUCCCCGGGCUCAACCUGGGAAUGGCGAUGGAUACUGGGCAGCUAGAGCGUGUCAGAGGAUGGUGGAAUUCCCGGUGUAGCGGUGAAAUGCGUAGAGAUCGGGAGGAACAUCAGUGGCGAAGGCGGCCAUCUGGGACAACACUGACGCUGAAGCACGAAAGCGUGGGGAGCAAACAGG